UGGGAGUUGGUGAUGGACACGGAAGCCUGGCGUGCUGCAGUCUAUGGGGUUGCAGAGUUGGACACAACUGAGUGACUGAACUGAACUGAAUAGAAUUACUUUCUUAAAAAAGAAAUAAAGUGAAAUGAAAUAAAACAUAAAAUGCAAUAAAUGCCUUGAGGUUGGAAUGGGGAGGAAAGCUACACAGGAUUACUGUAGCGGAGGAAGCCAUUUAUAAAAACCCAAAGUUUCAAUGACAAUAAGAAGUUCUUACAUUGUGAUGAUUAAGUUUACUCUGACAUCAUCAAUAUACUUCCUUUCCCCACUUCAACUCCUCAGACCUAUAAAAGUAAAAUGAAAGAAUGGAAAUAGAUUCAUCAUUAAGGAGAUCAUCUACGUUCCAGAUGUUUUUUCAGUAGAAAGUUUAAAAACCUUCCAAUUAGGAUGUCUCCACCUACCACGGACUACCUCAAAAAGCUGAGUCAGUUUUCCUGGAGUGUGUUGUCAUUUGUUUAACUUUGAGCAACAGUGGCCACACCUCUUCCUGACAGUAAGCUGGCAAAACUCCUCACACUACUUUCUUAAUGGUAUUUUUAAAAGAGAACAUUUAAAAACACUAAAAAGGCUUUAUGGUUUCUGUAAGAAUGAUAAAGCUCAUAGUAUACAGUUCAAAUAUUUUAAAACAUGUUGAGAAAGAUAAAAAAAUUUUUUUAAAAUCUCAUUUCCAGGCAUUAAAGAGUAUUCUUGAGGGCUUUUCAGAUGGCAUUAGCGGUAAAGAAUAUUCUUAGACAUUCUUCAAACAUUUCUCAGACUCUGUAUACAUCUAUAGACUGAUUGUGUGUGUGUGUGUUGAGACUUCUGGUUUGCACCACCCCAACCCCAUACCACCACCAGUUUUUGCUUAUUAUAAACAACAUUCUGAUGAAUCUUCAUUCUAUGGGUCAUUUCAAAUUUGUGUAAUUAUCUCCUGAGAACAGAUUCCCUGAAGUGGGAUGCCAGGGAAAAGGACAUACAUACAGUAUCUGACUAAAUAUUUCUAGACUGCUUUGGGGAAGCAUAUAGGUC
rnacentral:lncRNA from 1 species